CUUCCUACGGGGGCAGCAGUCGAGAAUCAUUCACAAUGGGGGAAACCCUGAUGGUGCGACGCCGCGUGGGGGAAUGAAGGUAUUCGGAUUGUAAACCCCUGUCAUGUGGGAGCAAAUUAAAAAGAUAGUACCACAAGAGGAAGAGACGGCUAACUCUGUGCCAGCAGCCGCGGUAAUACAGAGGUCUCAAGCGUUGUUCGGAAUCACUGGGCGUAAAGCGUGCGAAGGAUGUUUCGUAAGUUGUGAGUGAAAGGCGUGGGCU
rnacentral:rRNA from 1 species